rnacentral:rRNA from 1 species
UACAUGUGGGGCAAGCGUUGUUCGGAAUUACUGGGCGUAAAGGGCGCGUAGGCGGCCGUUUGCGUCGGAUGUGAAAGCCCGGGGCUCAACCUCGGAACGGCAUUCGAUACGGGACGGCUGGAGACCGGGAGAGGAGAGUGGAAUAGCCAGUGUAGAGGUGAAAUUCGUAGAUAUUGGCUGGAACACCGGUGGCGAAAGCGGCUCUCUGGCCCGGUUCUGACGCUGAGGCGCGAAAGCGUGGGGAGCAAACAGG